rnacentral:misc_RNA from 1 species
ACAUCUGCACUAGUAUCACGUACUCACUCUAAACUGGAAAUAGAAAUACAAUCAAAGCAAAAUCUGCAUUCAAACAGUUUCAAACAGAAUUUAAACCAAGUUGAAGCAUAUCCGUCAUAAUCGACGAUGAAUCAAUCACAUCAAAUAAUCUUUCGAUGAAGAGUAUAGAAGUCGAAACAAGUAACCCAAAACAGUGACAAAACAGAGGAAAUAACAGCAUUCAUCGUAUCGCACUCAACACUAACACAAGACGUAAGUGAAAGGAAG